UACGGGAGGCAGCAGUGGGGAAUAUUGCACAAUAGGCGAAAGCCUGAUGCAGCUAUGCCGCGUGUAUGAAGAAGGCCUUAGGGUUGUAAAGUACUUUCAUCGGGGAGGAAAAACAAAACUAAUAAUUUUAUUUCUUGACGUUACCCGAAAAAGAAGCACCGGCUAACUCCGUGCUAGCAGCCGCGGUAAUACGGAGGGUGCUAGCGUUAAUCAGAAUUACUGGGCGUAAAGAGCACGUAGGUGGUUUUUUUAAGUCAGAUGUGAAAUCCCUGGGCUUAACCUAGGAACUGCAUUUUGAAACUGAAAUACUAGAGUAUCGUAGAGGGAGGUAGAAUUCUAGGUGUAGCGGUGAAAUGCGUAGAUAUCUGGAGGAAUACCUGUGGCGAAAGCGGCCUCCUAAACGAAUACUGACACUGAGGUGCGAAAGCGUGGGGAGCAAACAGGGAUUAGAUACC
rnacentral:rRNA from 1 species